GCUCACUCUGCAGGUAUCUCUCCCUUCUUUCAGGAUCAGCUUUAAGGCGUUCCCGAUACUUCCUUUGCCCUUCUGCUGCUGUUGUUGGUGCCAUCUUACUCGCAUCCUUAACAUGGAACAUAAAUCACAUUCAGCAUGCAUGCAGUAUAAGAAUGGCUGUGUCGAUAAAUGAAGCAGAGGGAGCCUGACCAUGCGUCACACAUUUGACGAGUUAAGAGUGAGAAUGUUGAUAAGACACGAGGGGUGGAGAGACAUGACCUCAAAAAGUGCUAUAAAGAGUGGAAUGUCACCACCCCUUUUCAGUUUGCCUGGUCCUGAAGAAAGAUGUGACGUGGAAUGGAAAGUUCAAUAGACUAAAUCUGCGAUUUUGCUUAUUUAUGUGCGGUACACACUUUCUGCAAAGUCUUUACACAACUAGAAAGCUCUUGGAGCUUGGAGUCAAUAGAUCUUUGCAGCAGCAAACAUGAUUGAGGGGAAAAGGCCAUUAUCACAGCAAGUCGAGCGGGAACUGAUGGGUCUGCAUCCCAACAUGAAUUGGAUUCAGAGUGUCUGUCCUCUCCAGUAAGGCCUGAAGUGCAGAAGGCAGCGUGCCCAGCCAGGGUGACGCCCAAACUGGAGAGCUGCCUGGAAGACAAGUGGAUUUGCGACACAUGACACUGAGCUCAACAAGACACUGGGCAAGCUGUGGCAAUUCUACGAGCCAUGGAGGGUGUUGCUAGGGAGAACAUGGAUGGUUUGGCCACAGCAUUUUCAAGUGCCUCCAGUGUUCCAUAUUUCCUGACUGACCCAGAGAUCCUCAUUCCUCUGCAGGCUAGUACUGUUGACAAUGCUGGUGAGCAACUAGAUGCUGACUUCGAUUUUGAUGGCAUCGUAAUCGAACCGAGAUGGCUGGAAAGGUUGAAGCUGUUGUUCUCAAAGUUCAACCUUUCUCUCUACCGAAUCCAACAGCUGCGGAAUUCUUGGCAUUUGAUCAAGAAACAUUUUGAUCUAACCAAGUUUUCCAAGGAAGGCUUGGAAGUCCUACACAAGGUUCGAGGCAUCGACCUUGUUGAGCUGGAUGAAGGAUUUAAAUUGCAUGUUGUUGCAAUUCACCGAUCCCUUGUUAGGGUUGACAAAGCCUGUCAGUCCCCACAGAAACCAUUGAUCUCAUCAAUGGUAUGAUGAUCAACUUUGUGGAGAAUCUUAAAUUGUUCUGCUCGCUCUUCAGAAACUUGAAUGUAUGCCUGGUAGAAUGCCCUGCAUGGAUUACAGCUUAGUUUGUAACUGUGUGCUUGGUGUGGCUGAAGAAAUUGCUCAUCAACUUUACUGUUGCGGUGAGGACCUGCAGAUGGCGAGGCAUUGCAACACUUUCCAAUUAAUGUGUUCUUGAGGAGGAAAAGUGUCUUCACUGGUGCUUUGCUAACACUGUCAAUAAAGUCUUGAUGUGUAAGGUGAUAUGGUGUGUUAUGGAGAGAUUGUGUCACUGCAGUCCGGGAGUUCACAUCGUACUGCUGCUCUGCCC
ensembl:lncRNA